rnacentral:rRNA from 1 species
GGGUUGUGAGGUUAAGCGAAUAAGCGUACACGGUGGAUGCCUAGGCAAUCAGAGGCGAUGAAGGACGUGCUAAUCUGCGAUAAGCGUCGGUAAGGUGAUAUGAACCGUUAUAACCG